rnacentral:rRNA from 1 species
UACGAAGGGGGCUAGCGUUGCUCGGAAUCACUGGGCGUAAAGCGCACGUAGGCGGACUCUUAAGUCGGGGGUGAAAUCCUGGAGCUCAACUCCAGAACUGCCUUCGAUACUGGCGAUCUUGAGUCCGGAAGAGGUGAGUGGAACUCCUAGUGUAGAGGUGGAAUUCGUAGAUAUUAGGAAGAACACCAGUGGCGAAGGCGGCUCACUGGUCCGGUACUGACGCUGAGGUGCGAAAGCGUGGGGAGCAAACAGG